rnacentral:tRNA from 1 species
GGAGGGUAAACCGGACAGGCGUGCCGGGGCUGCCUGCUAAGCAGUUCGUUCGGUGAAAGCCGGAUUCGGUUCGAGACCGAUGCCCUCCGCCA